AAACAACAAAAAAAAUCAAUAAAUGUAUUAUUUCUCAAAUUGACUCCAAAAAUGAUUCAAAAUAAAAUGCAUUUCAUUCUUCUCGGCUUCUGGAUGUUUUCGAUAAUUUUUGAAUCUUCAAGUGCACAAAAACUCAGCAAACAGGAAUUUCUUGACAAGUGGAACCAUCGAAGACGUCUCGUAGCAAACAAGUUCCGCGUCCCUGAUAUAUGUGGAAACUGAGCCCGAAGCCACUGGAAGGACCAAUCACAUUCCACCUGAGAUAUCCGACGAGAGAUACAAUCAUCAGCAACUAAUCAACAAUUACAACGAGGAACUUUCGGACAUUCAGAAAAGAUUAUCUCGUUUGAACGUUCUAUAUGCAAACAUACUCCUGGCUAAAGAACAAUGUCAAAAAUCGAACUGUUUAUCAUGUAAUAAAUAAAAUUUUAUUAAUUAAAAAAAA
ensembl:ncRNA Y41E3.461 ncRNA